UGAUACAGAGACUGUUGGCCAUUUCUGAAACCAAUUAAAAAGAUGGGGUCUUCAGAACUACUAGCAGAUAAUUUGGGGGGACUUCAUAUUCAGAAGUCUAUAUAAAGGAUUCCUCAUGUCCAUAACAUGUUGGAUGAGGCUCUGCAGCUCACCCCCACUCUCAGAGUGGUCAGUCUCCAUUAAUUGGACCCCGUGAUUUCCAAUCUCUGCUGUGUUGGACGUCAUGAGCAUUGCAAUCCCUCUGGGAGUCACCACACCAGAUACAUCCUACUCAGAUAUGGCUGCUGGAUCAG
rnacentral:sRNA from 1 species